rnacentral:rRNA from 1 species
GAUGAACGCUGGCGGCGUGCCUAAUACAUGCAAGUCGAGCGAACGGACGAGAAGCUUGCUUCUCUGAUGUUAGCGGCGGACGGGUGAGUAACACGUGGAUAACCUACCAAUAAGACUGGGAUAACUUCGGGAAACCGGAGCUAAUACCGGAUAAUAUUUUGAACCGCAUGGUUCAAAAGUGAAAGACGGUCUUGCUGUCACUUAUAGAUGGAUCCGCGCUGCAUUAGCUAGUUGGUAAGGUAACGGCUUACCAAGGCAACGAUGCAUAGCCGACCUGAGAGGGUGAUCGGCCACACUGGAACUGAGACACGGUCCAGACACCUACGGGAGGCAGCAGUAGGGAAUCUUCCGCAAUGGGCGAAAGCCUGACGGAGCAACGCCGCGUGAGUGAUGAAGGUCUUCGGAUCGUAAAACUCUGUUAUUAGGGAAGAACAUAUGUGUAAGUAACUGUGCACAUCUUGACGGUACCUAAUCAGAAAGCCACGGCUAACUACGUG